AUGACCUUUAAGUUUUGAGUUUUGAACAUCUCCAAAUCUAACAAAACCAAGCAUCUGUUUCUGAAAAAUGUGCUUGGGCAAAAUCCUGGAGGACUUUAGAUGCGCUAUUUGGAUUCGGGUGCAUAUCAAGCUCGUAAAUAUGGUUUGCUCGGAUUCCUAAUAAUUGACGACCUUAGGUACGCAUUGUAGGCUUCGCUCGUCUUUUCAGUUGAUUUAUAAUUAAGCAUGUGCAGAACAGAAAUACUGAAACAAUUUUGUGGAAUGUUUUUAAUUCUAUGCUCUCAGAAUUUUGAUUCAAAAAUUAUGUACUGCGAUCAAUAAAUUUCGACUUGAGUUCCAGAU
rnacentral:misc_RNA from 1 species